rnacentral:rRNA from 1 species
GAUGAACGCUGGCGGCGUGCCUAAUACAUGCAAGUCGAGCGAACAGACGAGGAGCUUGCUCCUCUGACGUUAGCGGCGGACGGGUGAGUAACACGUGGAUAACCUACCUAUAAGACUGGGAUAACUUCGGGAAACCGGAGCUAAUACCGGAUAAUAUAUUGAACCGCAUGGUUCAAUAGUGAAAGACGGUUUUGCUGUCACUUAUAGAUGGAUCCGCGCCGCAUUAGCUAGUUGGUAAGGUAACAGCUUACCAAGGCAACGAUGCGUAGCCGACCUGAGAGGGUGAUCGGCCACACUGGAACUGAGACACGGUCCAGACUCCUACGGGAGGCAGCAGUAGGGAAUCUUCCGCAAUGGGCGAAAGCCUGACGGAGCAACGCCGCGUGAGUGAUGAAGGUCUUCGGAUCGUAAAACUCUGUUAUUAGGGAAGAGCAAAUGUGUAAGUAACUAUGCACGUCUUGACGGUACCUAAUCAGAAAGCCACGGCUAACUACGUG